ACGAACGCUGGCGGCAGGCCUAACACAUGCAAGUCGAGCGAGGACUUCGGUCCUAGCGGCGGACGGGUGAGUAACGCGUGGGAACGUGCCCUUUGCUUCGGAAUAGCUCUGGGAAACUGGGAGUAAUACCGGAUGAGCCCUUUGGGGGAAAGAUUUAUCGGCGAAGGAUCGGCCCGCGUUGGAUUAGGUAGUUGGUGGGGUAAUGGCCUACCAAGCCGACGAUCCAUAGCUGGUUUGAGAGGAUGAUCAGCCACACUGGGACUGAGACACGGCCCAGACUCCUACGGGAGGCAGCAGUGGGGAAUCUUAGACAAUGGGGGAAACCCUGAUCUAGCCAUGCCGCGUGAGCGAUGAAGGCCUUAGGGUUGUAAAGCUCUUUCAGCUGGGAAGAUAAUGACGGUACCAGCAGAAGAAGCCCCGGCUAACUCCGUG
rnacentral:rRNA from 1 species